rnacentral:rRNA from 1 species
GCAUGUGGUUUAAUUCGAAGCAACGCGAAGAACCUUACCAGGCUUGACAUGCAGAGAACUUUCCAGAGAUGGAUUGGUGCCUUCGGGAACUCUGACACAGGUGCUGCAUGGCUGUCGUCAGCUCGUGUCGUGAGAUGUGGGUUAAGUCCCGUAACGAGCGCAACCCUUGUCCUUAGUUACCAGCACGUUAUGGUGGGCACUCUAAGGAGACUGCCGGUGACAAACCGGAGGAAGGUGGGGAUGACGUCAAGUCCUCAUGGCCUUUAUGACCAGGGCUACACACGUACUACAAUGGCCGAUACAAAGGGCAGCGACACUGCGAGGUGAAGCCAAUCCCGUAAAAUCGGUCUCAGUCCGGAUUGGAGUCUGCAACUCGACUCCAUGAAGUUGGAAUCGCUAGUAAUCGUGGAUCAGCAUGCCACGGUGAAUACGUUCCCGGGCCUU